UACGUAGGGGGCUAGCGUUGUCCGGAAUCAUUGGGCGUAAAGAGCGUGUAGGCGGUCCGGUAAGUCCGCUGUGAAAGUCGGGGGCUCAACCCUCGAAUGCCAGUGGAUACUGUCGGGCUAGAGUGCGGAAGAGGCGAGUGGAAUUCCUGGUGUAGCGGUGAAAUGCGCAGAUAUCAGGAGGAACACCUAUUGCGAAGGCAGCUCGCUGGGACGUAACUGACGCUGAGACGCGAAAGCCAGGGGAGCAAACGGG
rnacentral:rRNA from 1 species